AAUAGAUACCCUGGUAGUCCACGCCGUAAACGUUGGGCGCUAGAUGUGGGGACCUUUCCACGGUUUCCGUGUCGUAGCUAACGCAUUAAGCGCCCCGCCUGGGGAGUACGGCCGCAAGGCUAAAACUCAAAGGAAUUGACGGGGGCCCGCACAAGCGGCGGAGCAUGCGGAUUAAUUCGAUGCAACGCGAAGAACCUUACCAAGGCUUGACAUGCACCAGAACGCCCUAGAGAUAGGGAACUCUUUGGACACUGGUGUACAGGUGGCGCAUGGUUGUCGUCAGCUCGUGUCGUGAGAUGUUGGGUUAAGUCCCGCAACGAGCGCAACCCUCGUCGCAUGUUGCCAGCACGUCAUGGUGGGAACUCAUGUGAGACUGCCGGGGUCAACUCGGAGGAAGGUGGGGAUGACGUCAAAUCAUCAUGCCCCUUAUGUCUUGGGCUUCACGCAUGCUACAAUGGCCGGUACAAAGGGCUGCGAUGUCGUAAGGCGGAGCGAAUCCCAAAAAGCCGGUCUCAGUUCGGAUUG
rnacentral:rRNA from 1 species